rnacentral:misc_RNA from 1 species
UAUUAUGACGCGGUAGCAAUAGCGGAUCCUCCUGUCUCCCCUUCCCCGCUCACUCCUUCUCUCCUGUACACUCCGCACCACACAGGGCAACGCUCGGGCGUGCAUGUUUGUCACUGCUCUUCCCUGUGCCUGGUGGUUGAAGAGGUGUGCGAGCGCAUGAGCGGGUACGCGUGUGAGUGGGUAUAGGUGUGUGUUCGCGCAGAGACUGACCUCUCGUAACUCGUACCCGAAAAGCCUUCCUCCUCCACCACACCCCACCCGGUAACCCUACUUCCUUACAAGCUCCAAACUAAAAUCGACAGUCCCGAGCUGCAUUCCAAGGCGUACAAGCGCCGCGACGACAGCAGGGCUUGUUUACUCUCUCGGCUUCUCUGCUCUGCAUUCCCCCUGUCUGUUCUUUCCACCCUUUCGUACUGGAAAAACAUGAACAUGCAGGGACUCUCGAAGGAUCUGCAGCUGUACAUCAGCGGUCAUCGCGGCCGCCCAGCACUCAUCUACGAGCCGAGGACGAGCCUUGUCGAGCCCUCCCUUCUGCAACUGUUCGAGGCGUGCAACUGCGACGCGGAAACGACAGCCUUUCUUAUCCGCUCCCGAAACAUGAGCGUGUGGAAGCUGAUGUUGGCGGACUUCCUCUCUGUCUUUCUUUCGCGCACCACCGCGCAAGGCAUGGUCGGACGUGGUAUGAUGUUCGUGUACUCGACGGAGCAGAUCCGGCGCUUGCUGCGACCGCCGCAAGCGCCACUCGUGUCCCCGCUGCCACCGGACUUCCAGUUCGAUAGCCUCCUCGACAUCGGCGCCGGCGAUGGCGGCGUGACGGCAAAUAUCGCCCCUCUAUUCAAGAAGGUGUACGUGACGGAGUUUUCGGCAUCGAUGCGGUGGCGGCUGCGUCGCCGCGGCUACGAGGUGCUGCCGCAUGAUGACCCCUUUCACAUGAACACUGCGGAGAGGCUGCUGGACCGCCGCUACUUUGAUGUGAUCGCGUGCAACAACGUGCUCGACCGCGCUGACAUGCCAGAGACACUCCUGCGGGAGAUGCGGGACUCGCUCAAGCCUAACGGCCUCCUGGUGCUCGCAGUCGUUCUGCCAUGGUGCCCGUUCGUCGAGGACGGCCCGCGGCAGAAGAGGCCCAGCGAGAUUCUCCCAAUGCAGGGCGGGGAGUGCUGCCGCGGUGCCUCCUUCGAGCAGUCCAUGUCGAAGUUGGUCGAGAACGUGCUGGUGCCAAUGGGCUUCGAGGUCGUUCGCUGGACCAGGCUCCCCUACCUAUGUGAGGGCAACCUCCGCAUCGAGUAUGCAGUGCUAAACGACGCCGUGUUUAUCCUGCGUAAGAGAGGUGAUGUCGAGAGCCGUGCGUAGUCUUUGCCCUUUCUCCCUCUCCUUUCUCUCCCCUGUACUCACGCCCCCUCUCUGAUUCGUAGGAUGCACAGCGCGAGAGCGGCGGUGACAUCCUUGCUUCAACGCCUCUGUGUGCCCCCUGCCGGUGCGUUUUUCUUUUUUUCUCUGCUCUUCUCCUUUCGCUGGCCCGGAUGACGCGGGGAGGGAGGGAGGAAGGGGGCCACACACCGCUCAGUGCGUCGCAUCGUCAGGGUCCCGCACGACCCACCAUUGCGGGGCGACGCCGAGCAGCUCCCCUAUGCCCCUGCCCAAUGCCGAGCCGCCUCUGGUGGAGGCUGAAUCAGGCACCCGUACGCCAUGGGGAGGACAGAGCGGCUCAUCGCUGCUGAUGCCGGCGGUGGGGCCCUGGACGGUGCUGCGGCGGAGCGACCUGAAAGGCCGCGUGUGGGCGGGCAGAGUUUGGGGCAGGGGGCGGUCGUCUCAGGUGACUGAGUCGGCGCAUUUGGUGUACCGGGCGUGUCUCUCGCGCUGCUUCGCACGACGCGGAUGGGGGGCCUGUGGCAGGGCCUAGCGUAGGCUGGCGUGUGACUUAUUCCGCACGGCGGAGAACGGACACGCGUUGGAGGCAAGCGCGGAGCGGAAUGCACAGCAUGAGAACGCCUGCUUACGUUGCUCCUUCUCCGUUUGUUUUUUUCUCCGUUCUUUUCACUGCGCUGCCUCGCCGGGAGUGUGAUGUAUCGAAAAGCAGGCGUCGCGUGGACUCCGGCUCUCCUUCUUCUCUGUCGAUGGUUUUGUUUUCGCGCUGUCCUCCCCCCUUUCCCCUCCUUCGACCCCGUGUCUCCAUCGACCGUCUUGUUGCUUGCCUUGUGCUGUAACUAUAUAUAUUUAUUUUUUCGUGUGUCUGUGCGUAUCUUGUGCACACGCACGCUCUGCCGCCCCCCUCCUUUUUUUGCUAUCGUCGUCGCUGUCAUCAGCGUCUCCAUGCAUCCAUCAUCCGACACCUCUUUCUUCCUCUCCCUCUCCACACCCUCGCGACAUACGCAUACCACGCAAAGGUGAGGGCGAGGCAAACGCGAGGAGGACGGGGGAUGUUGCGACGCUGAAGGGAGCGAGAGCGAACCUGCAAGAGUGAGCGAGUGUGUGUGUGUAUUUUGGUGUGCAUGAGAAGAAAGCGAGAGGGAGCGGGAGGUGGUGGCAGAGACAGCCCUACGCGUAGACAUCCGCUCUAUCGUCGUCUUCUCACUGUUCCCUUCCGUUGCCUGCUCUCGUUAGACCUGCCCCCUCUCCCUUUUUCUUCCAGGUCCCGCACCUCGAAUUUUGGUUUUGCAUGUUUUGCAUGUUUUGCACUUUUUCUUUUUUUUUUGCAUCUCUGGGUGAGCCAGACAGAACAACAACGCAGCCAAGAACGAAAGAACAACUGAAGUCCGGAUAUACUGCACGCAUGGACAUGCACGCAAGAGUUUUAGCAGCGUUGCGUGUGUGUGUGUUUGCUCCUUGUUACUGAUACGUCCGCCUCUCGCCUUUCCUCUCCCCGGACGAUUGCUUCAUCUUCCUCUCGCCUUCGAUGCUCAUUCCCUAUUCUGCUCGCACUCUCGAUCAGUGCAGCUUCGCGUCUAUAAACGCGUCAUAUGCCCCUGCGAACAUGUCUUCCUCUCUCUCUCUCUGUGCAGUAUUGCCGUCUCUUCGUUCACCUGGUUACACCUCUAUCGCCGCAUCAGCGACACACCUUACAGAGGCAGUACGGGACGUGGGGGCGGGGCAAGAGAAUGGGACCGACCGGGGCGUUAUGGAGAGGAGAGCGGGAGGCCGGGAGUUAGCAGAGGGAGCAGGAGCACACAUGCACCGGCACCAAAGCCGAACACGAAAGGCUUGGGCCAUUUGCUGAGAAAGGUGAAACGAAAAGCGACGACAGCACAAACUGCAGGUGCAACGCUAUGCAUGUGCAUGCAUAGGAGUGAGCGGAUGAGUGCUUGCGUGCAGCUUCCUCCUUUCGGUGCGCACGCUGCGGUGGUCUUUUCGUGUUAUAUAUACAGGCUUUCCAGGUGUUUUGCGUCUUUGUUGCUGGUAGCUCUGUUUUUUUUUCCUGUUUUGGUUUCUGUUCGUGCUUGCUCUUCCUCUUCGUAAGCUGUGCGUGUGUCUCUAAGUAACAGUUGUGUGUGUGUGUUGUGUGUCGGAAGGGGUGCAGCAUAGGCGUAACAAGCAAAGAAAUGAAACGAACACACACACACACAUAUAUAUAUAUAUAUUAGAUGCAUGCAUACGCUCGCAAACGCGCGCGCCAAAGGAAGUAGCAGCAGCACAGCGGUGUCAAAAUAAAAACAAACACGCACUUCUACGCACCGCAAGUGCGGAUUGGCUCUUCUCUUUCUCUGUGUGCGGGUGAUGCCGUCAUGUUCACCGCGUCCCUGGUCGAGCGGAGCG